GAGGGAGCGGAGGAACAAAUGUGAAACACACGUUCUGGCGGGACACACUGGCUCGGCCGUGGUUCGUUUGAGAGCCAGUAGUGACGGCAACAUAGAUCUCUCUUUUAGAGCCACUAACCAGUAACAAGUCCCUCUAGUGAUUGCAACUGCCAGCUAUGGGCCCUAUCUGUGCAGUGUCCGAUUAAAACCAAAGGCUAAGCAAGACAGCAUGUCUGUCAGCUUGCUGAAGUGUCCUCCUCUUCCUGGAUCCACAUGAGUGAAUCAUAUGGUGGACUUGGCCGGGUGCACCGGAACAAAAGUCAUGAAAACUCAUACAGAAUAAGGGAAAACACAAUGCAAAGCCUUUCCCCCACAGAGGUGGUUGGAGAAGUAAAGGUGCUGACAGAUAGAUGGCACAUGAUCCAUUUCCUCCUGCGCCACAGAGAUGCAUUAGAUAUUCUUUUUCCAAGAACCCAGCAUCCAAUCUCACCAGGUGAUUUAUUUCAAUAAUCCACUAACUUCAUAACAGAGCAGGAUGCGUCUUCUCCAACGGCUGUGUGGUCCUGUAGAAGAAUAUUAUGUAUGAUAUUAAAAAUACAAUGACAGAUGUACUCAUUUUCAGUCAGAAGAAAUAGAAGGGGGAAAAUGAGGACUGAUUUAUACACGAUACCAUCUAAAAGCUCCACACAAAAAAAGCGUUUCGCUUUUCCAUGAAUGUAAUGCUACUGUUUCCUUGAAAAGUGUGAAUUGCUAGUACUCAACUUCUCAUUCUGAAAUUUCUUAAUAGGAAAUGAACAUCUUAAUAAUUUUUUUUUUCCUUCUGAAAUCCUAAACAAAUCAAUGGGUCAGAGUUUAGCUGGUUAGUUUCGGCAGUUACCCUGCCAGUAGGUGCUGUAAGUACAACAUUAGGCAAGCAAAAAGCCUGUUUUUUAAUUUAUGGCAUUGUAAAUUAGCCAUUGUUGCUUAGCACUUUUUUGGCAAACAAUACGAAUAUGAAUCGAAUAUUUAAUUAUAUUGAUGCUUGCUUAGUGCCUACAUCUCUUAAAA